rnacentral:hammerhead_ribozyme from 1 species
AUCCAGCUGACGAACAGUCCCAAAUAGGAUGAAAUGCGCAUCCUGGAU